rnacentral:rRNA from 1 species
AUUGAACGCUGGCGGCAUGCCUUACACAUGCAAGUCGAACGGUAACAGGUCUUCGGAUGCUGACGAGUGGCGAACGGGUGAGUAAUACAUCGGAACGUGCCUAGUAGUGGGGGAUAACUACUCGAAAGAGUGGCUAAUACCGCAUGAGAUCUACGGAUGAAAGCAGGGGAUCGCAAGACCUUGUGCUACUAGAGCGGCCGAUGGCAGAUUAGGUAGUUGGUGGGAUAAAAGCUUACCAAGCCGACGAUCUGUAGCUGGUCUGAGAGGACGAUCAGCCACACUCGGACUGAGACACGGCCCAGACUCCUACGGGAGGCAGCAGGGGGAAAUUUUGGACAAUGGGCGAAAGCCUGAUCCAGCAAUGCCGCGUGCAGGAUGAAGGCCUUCGGGUUGUAAACUGCUUUUGUACGGAACGAAAAGCCCCGGGUUAAUACCCUGGGGUCAUGACGGUACCGUAAGAAUAAGCACCGGCUAACUACGUGCCAGCAGCCGCCGUAA